rnacentral:rRNA from 1 species
AUUGAACGCUGGCGGCAUGCCUUACACAUGCAAGUCGAACGGCAGCACGGGGGCAACCCUGGUGGCGAGUGGCGAACGGGUGAGUAAUACAUCGGAACGUGUCCUUUCGUGGGGGAUAACCAGUCGAAAGACUGGCUAAUACCGCAUGAGAUCUCACGAUGAAAGCGAGGGACCGCAAGGCCUCGCGCGAUUGGAGCGGCCGAUGUCGGAUUAGCUAGUUGGCGGGGUAAAAGCCCACCAAGGCGACGAUCCGUAGCUGGUUUGAGAGAACGACCAGCCACACUGGGACUGAGACACGGCCCAGACUCCUACGGGAGGCAGCAGUGGGGAAUUUUGGACAAUGGGCGCAGGCCUGAUCCAGCCAUGCCGCGUGUGUGAAGAAGGCCUUCGGGUUGUAAAGCACUUUCGGCCGGAACGAAAUCGCGCGGGUUAACAGUCCGCGUGGAUGACGGUACCGGAAGAAGAAGCACCGGCUAACUACGUGCCAGCCGCCGCGGUAA